rnacentral:lncRNA from 1 species
GAGCUCUUUCUGGACUGUGGGGAAAAAACCCUUUAGAUAUUUGUCGAAGUGACUCUUAAAAGUGGGUGCUUUUUAGCACUGUGUGGCCUUACGGCUGACUUGGAUGAGAGGAUCAUGUGGUUGAGGAGCUGAAAGGGGU